rnacentral:rRNA from 1 species
GGUCUUUUGAUAAAAUUAUAAGAUUAGGCCUGCUCUAUGAUUUUAGAUUAAAUGGCUGCAGUAUUUUGACUGUACAAAGGUAGCAUAAUCAUUUGUCUUUUAAUUGAGGACUGGGAUGAAAGGUUUGAUGAAAAAUAUUCUUUCUUUAUUUUCAAUAUUGAAAUUGACUUUUAGGUCAAAAGGCCUAAAUUAACUUAAGGGACGAGAAGACCCUAUAGAACUUUAUAUUGAAAAUAUAAAUUAAGAUUUGAUGAUAACUUUAAUUUAUAUUUUAUCAAUAUUUUGUUGGGGUGACAAAAAAAAUAAAAUAACUUUUUUUAUAAUUAACAUGGAUAAAUGUUUAAUUGAUCCAGAAUAUUCUGAAUAAAGAUAAGUUACCUUAGGGAUAACAGCGUAAUUACUUUGAAGAGUUCAAAUCGAUAAAGUAGUUUGCGACCUCGAUGUUGGAUUAAAAUUAAUAUUUGAUGUAGCAGUUUUAUUAUUAAGUCUGUUCGACUUUUAAAUUUUUACA